GUUUCCGUAGUGUAGUGGUUAUUACGUUUGCCUCACAUGCAAAAGGUCCCCGGUUCGAAACCUGGUGGAAACA
rnacentral:tRNA from 1 species